GGGAACCUCACCCGGCCCGGACACCGCGAGGAUUGACAGACUGAGAGCUCUUUCUCGAUUCGGUGGGUGGUGGUGCAUGGCCGUUCUUAGUUGGUGGAGCGAUCUGUCUGGUUAAUUCCGAUAACGAACGAGACCCCAACCUGCUAACUAGCCCUCGGGUCCUGCUUCUGUUGGGCCCGACGGAUGAUUCGCUUCUUAGAGGGACUCGCGGCGCCUAGCCGCACGAAGGGGGGCGAUAA
rnacentral:rRNA from 1 species